rnacentral:rRNA from 1 species
GACGAACGCUGGCGGCGUGCUUAACACAUGCAAGUCGAACGGAAAGGCCCUGCUUUUGUGGGGUGCUCGAGUGGCGAAAGGGUGAGUAACACGUGAGUAACCUGCCCUUGACUUUGGGAUAACUUCAGGAAACUGGGGCUAAUACCGGAUAGGAGCUCCUGCUGCAUGGUGGUGGUUGGAAAGUUUCGGCGGUUGGGGAUGGACUCGCGGCUUAUCAGCUUGUUGGUGGGGUAGUGGCUUACCAAGUCUUUGGCGGGUAGCCGGCCUGAGAGGGUGACCGGCCACAUUGGGACUGAGAUACGGCCCAGACUCCUACGGGAGGCAGCAGUGGGGAAUAUUGCACAAUGGGCGGAAGCCUGAUGCAGCAACGCCGCGUGCGGGAUGACGGCCUUCGGGUUGUAAACCGCUUUCGCCUGUGACGAAGCGUGAGUGACGGUAAUGGGUAAAGAAGCACCGGCUAACUACGUG